AUAUUGGCUUUGGUCCAACGGCCUACAACCAAUGACCGGGUCCCGCCUGGGGAUUAAACAAGGCUUUCCAUGGUUCGGUUCAUCUUGUGGCCAAGGACGAGGGCAUUAUGGUCAGUUGACGCAGAUCGAUAAAGAAACAGGGGACAAAAGCACCGUCGCGUUCCCAAGUCUCACGUUGUCCACCCAGCCUUCAGCCGCCGUCGCCGGCGCUAACCCACUCGCUUCAGUGCCACCCCCGCGGCUCCACGGUCAAGUCCUGCCUCUUACCGCGGGCCAGUCGCUGCCCUCUUUGCCUACGAGUCGUCGAUCAGGUGUAAAAAAUGGCAUGCGGUGGAGCUGUUGUCCAAGUGCCCAACCUUGGCUUUGGUUCACAAAAAAAGUUCUACCUUCAGAGAUACAAAAUGACACAGAAGUAUUCACCCAGAUACCGAAGUAUUCGAGCAGUACAGGAAAAUGAGGGCCCACGAAGACUAAUUGACAUCAUUCGCCUCAUCCCAGAUGCCUCAAGGAAUUACUUCAGAAGCAGUCCUCGCAGAGCACUUUUUGGUGGUAUCUCAUUGUUGGGUGGCUUUUAUGUUGCACAAACAAUUUCUCUGUCAUUUGGUGCUUUGGGUGUGAAUGAUGUAAUUGCUGCAGUGGUAUGUGUUCUUCUUACUGAGUAUGUGACCAGAUUUUACUACAGUCGGCCCAAAGUAACCUUUCCUAUUGCGCUACUAAACAAUUUCAAGAUGGGAUUCACAUAUGGGCUUUUCAUUGAUGCUUUCAAGCUUGCUAGUUAAGAUGGAAUUCCCAAAUAGAAGCCGAAUUCUCAUUCAUUAUGUAAGCCUUGCUUAAUGUUAAAAGGUUUCGAUUCAGUAUGGAGCUCGGAAGUGCAGAAGGAUGUAGGCAGCUCGUGUUGCUUCUAUUUCAUGGCUAUUGUAUAUGCAAUGGGCAUUCUCAUAUAUUUAUACAUAUCUGGUUGCUUGUCUUGGAAAUUAUUUUGUGCAUCAGUUCA